rnacentral:rRNA from 1 species
ACACGACUACAUUAGAUACCCCCGUAGUCCUAGCCGUAAACGAUACUCGCUAGGUGUCGGCCACGGUGCGACCGUUGUCGGUGCCGUAGGGAAGCCGUGAAGCGAGCCACCUGGGAAGUACGGCCGCAAGGCUGAAACUUAAAGGAAUUGGCGGGGAGCACCACAACGGGUGGAGCCUGCGGUUUAAUUGGACUCAACGCCGGAAAUCUCACCGGAUAGGACAGACAUAUGAUAGUCGGGCUGAAGACUCUACUUGAUGAUCUG